rnacentral:lncRNA from 1 species
GGGAAAUGAGGACCACCGCUCCGGGCCGCGAGUAGGCGCGUGGAGUCCGGGGGCUCAGCCGCCGCGCCUCUUCCUCCUGCAGCUGGAGACUGCAACAGCGGCGGGUGCACCGGCAGCAGCGACGACCCUGCGCGCAGUGGCAGUGUAGAAGCCAGACCGGGAGCUUCCAGAAGUGGUUUCUGAAAGAGUCAAAUGUACAUGAGUAAGCAAGCACAGGAAUCUGAAAAACCACAGCCCACUAAUUUGCCUGCUUGACUAAAAUAAGGACGAGUUAUGUGCUGAUGAGAGAC